rnacentral:lncRNA from 1 species
AAGAAGCUCAACAUACCAACUUUCAAUAAAGCGGGCUCAAUAAUAUGUAACAUAGAACCCGUAGUUUGUUUGUCAACAUAAGUUUCGGUGAGGAAAUCCAAUACCAGUGUAAGGCUUUUAUAAUUUUUGAUGGACCAACGUCGUUUGGUCCAAGUUCAGUCUACAUAAAUAAUUGUUCUGGGUCGGUCUUACAAAAAAAAAUGACCUUUUUUAAUUAAAAUAAAUGUCAGUCCACGAUUGAAAUGUCUGUUGACGGUUAUGGAUGGAUUUUUACCCUAAAGUAUUGGUACAAAUUCGUUUAGAAAAAAAAUCGUCUUCAAAACGAGAUAAAACAAAAGAACAAGACUUUGAGGGUAUCGAGAACAAAUCGAUAUCGAUUUCAAGAACCACAUCACUAAUAGACCGGGUGGACACUUGGAACUUACAGACUUGUAGCCAUGUAUCUUAAUAACCUGCUGCUUUUUGAUUUUUUUAAAUCGGACGAGACAUGUCAUCACAGCAAUAUUCAAGGCUUAAGGAAUCAAUUCUUCUGCAUGCGGGUUACACUCUAACAGAGGAAGCCAGUGUGACGGGAAUGGCUCGUACGACCAU